rnacentral:rRNA from 1 species
ACAGUCACACAUUAGAUACCCCCGUAGUCCUGGCCGUAAACGAUGUGGACUUGGUGUUGGAAUGGCUCCGAGCUGCUCCAGUGCCGAAGGGAAGCUGUUAAGUCCACCGCCUGGGAAGUACGGUCGCAAGACUGAACUUAAGGAAUUGCGGGGAGCACCACAACGGCGUGGAGCCUGCGGUUUAAUUGGAUUCAACGCCGGACAUCUCACCAGGGCGACAGCAGAAUGAUGGCCAGGUUGAUGACCUUGCUUGACAAGCUG